GGGGCUAUAGCUCAGCUGGGAGAGCGCCUGCCUUGCACGCAGGAGGUCUGCGGUUCGAUCCGCAUAGCUCCACCA
rnacentral:tRNA from 2 species